UCAGGUUUUUACUUUAAUUGGAGCCCCGGUCGCGAAAAGGAGUGAAAAUGAGCUAAAAACCCUAAAAUUCAGCAUUUUGCACUUGUGUCUGGCGCCAUGGACCCUGCCAUGACGUGUCCUAGAUCAACUUUCCUCAACUGUCACGUUCCCCACUACUUCCACUAAGGCUCCACAAAUUGGCCUUGUGGCGGGUGCCACAAGAGGAAAAGUUUUCCCUCCCAUUUUCAAACUGAAGGGCAUCC
rnacentral:lncRNA from 1 species